rnacentral:tRNA from 1 species
GCUGCCGUAGUUCAACGGGAUAGAACAACUCUCUCCUAAGGAGUGGAUACUGGUUCGAGUCCAGUCGGUGGUA